CCCUAUGGGGUGCUGGCUCCGGAAGGUCCAGUGCGCGAAAGUUUAGGUUGUCUUGCGCAUACAGAACACCGUACACGCGAGCGGAGCGCAGUGGGCGGCCCUCGCGCAGGGCUCCGCCAACGUCCUCACGUUCCAGUAAUUGAUUCGUGCUCAUAAUUUUGCUCUCAAAACUUGGCGGUAGAUACCCGCCGUCAUGAGAUGAAUUGCAGCAACGAACCGUGGGCGGUAAUUCUUCUCAGAAUCUUUUCUGGAGAACGCCCUUGGGGACAGGGCCGCACACAAAGAAGGCCGGACACCCGGGACAGGAACGGAUGGAAGGCUCGGGAGGGAAUUUGCCUGACCGUAUGUCAUCAAGCGCGUUGUCGAGUUUUACCUUGCGAUUCUCAAGCUUGGCGGGGGGGC
rnacentral:rRNA from 1 species